GACAGCGUGGCCGAGCGGUCCAAGGCGCCAGACUCAAGCGAAAGCUUGCCUGCUAGGUACUGAGUAUUCUGGUCUGUGUAUACAGGCGUGGGUUCGAAUCCCACCGCUGUCA
rfam:Trichinella papuae scaffold147s, whole genome shotgun sequence.